UCCUACGGGGGGCAGCAGUGGGGGAUAUUGCACAAUGGGGGAAACCCUGAUGCAGCGACGCCGCGUGAGUGAAGAAGUAUUUCGGUACGUAAAGCUCUAUCAGCAGGGAAGAAUAAUGACGGUACCUGACUAAGAAGCCCCGGCUAACUGCGUGCCAGCAGCCGCGGUAAUACGUAGGGGGCAAGCGUUGUCCGGAUUUACUGGGUGUAAAGGGCGUGCAGCCGGGAAGACAAGUCAGAUGUGAAAUCCCGCGGCUCAACCGCGGAACUGCAUUUGAAACUGUUUUUCUUGAGUAUCGGAGAGGU
rnacentral:rRNA from 1 species